CCUACGGGCGGCAGCAGUGAGGAAUAUUGGUCAAUGGGCGGAAGCCUGAACCAGCCAAGUAGCGUGCGGGAUGAAGGCCCUACGGGUCGUAAACCGCUUUUGCACGGGGAUAACACCCUCCACUUGUGGAGGUCUGCAGGUACCGUGCGAAUAAGGGCCGGCUAACUCCGUGCCAGCAGCCGCGGUAAUACGGAGGAUCCGAGCGUUAUCCGGAUUCAUUGGGUUUAAAGGGUGGUUAGGUUGUUUUAUAAGUUAGCGGUGAAAUACCGAUGCUCAACAUCGGGGCUGCCGCUGAUACUGUAGGACUAGAGAUCGGAUGCAGCAGGCGGAAUGUGUAGUGUAGCGGUGAAAUGCAUAGAUAUUACACAGAACACCGAUUGCGAAGGCAGCUUGCUAGGCCGGAUCUGACACUGAUGCACGAAAGCGUGGGGAUCGAACAGGAUUAGAUACCCGAGUAGUC
rnacentral:rRNA from 1 species